rnacentral:sRNA from 1 species
GGGCGUGGUGGCCCACGCCUGUAACCCCAGUGACUUGGGAGGCUGAGGCAGGAGGAUCACAAGGUGGAGGCCAGCCUCAGCAACGUAGCAAGGCCCUCAGCCACUCAGGGAGACCCUGCCUCUA